CGACUCUCGGCAACGGAUAUCUCGGCUCUCGCAUCGAUGAAGAACGCAGCGAAAUGCGAUACUUGGUGUGAAUUGCAGAAUCCCGCGAACCAUCGAGUUUUUGAACGCAAGUUGCGCCCGAAGCCUUUCGGCCGAGGGCACGUCUGCCUGGGUGUCACGCAACAU
rnacentral:rRNA from 1 species